AGAGAUGGCUUGGUGCUCGAAAGAGAGCCGUAACACAGGUGCUGCAUGGCUGUCGUCAGCUCGUGUCGUGAGAUGUUGGGUUAAGUCCCGCAACGAGCGCAACCCUUGUCAUUAGUUGCCAUCAUUGGUUGGGCACUCUAAUGAGACUGCCGGUGACAAACCGGAGGAAGGUGGGGAUGACGUCAAGUCCUCAUGGCCCUUAUGGGUAGGGCUUCACACGUCAUACAAUGGUCGGUACAGAGGGUUGCCAACCCGCGAGGGGGAGCUAAUCCCACAAAGCCGAUCGUAGUCCGGAUCGCAGUCUGCAACUCGACUGCGUGAAGUCGGAAUCGCUAGUAAUCGUGGAUCAGCAUGUCACGGUGAAUACGUUCCCGGGUCUU
rnacentral:rRNA from 1 species